CCUACGGGUGGCUGCAGUGAGGAAUAUUGGUCAAUGGGCGCAAGCCUGAACCAGCCAAGUCGCGUGAGGGAUGACGGUCCUAUGGAUUGUAAACCUCUUUUGUCGGGGAGCAAGGCCCGCCACGUGUGGCGGGAAGGAGAGUACCCGAAGAAAAAGCAUCGGCUAACUCCGUGCCAGACGCCGCGGUAAUACGGAGGAUGCGAGCGUUAUGCGGAUUUAGUGGGUUUAAAGGGUGCGUAGGCGGAAGGUUAAGUCAGAGGUAAAAUGUCGGUGCUAAAAACCGGCCUGCCGUCGAAACUGGUCUUCUUGAGUGAGCGAGAGGUAUGCGGAAUGCGUGGUGUAGCGGUGAAAUGCAUAGAUAUCAGACAGAACUCCGAUUGCGAAGGCAGCAUACCGGCGCUCAACUGACGCUGAGGCACGAAAGCGUGGGGAUCGAACAGGAUUAGAUACCCCUGUAGUC
rnacentral:rRNA from 1 species